rnacentral:misc_RNA from 1 species
CGUCACGGCGACUCUUGUCACUGGCCGUGGCCGGUGGAUCAGCGCGCGGCCAGCUAGUUGCUCUUGUACGGCGGCGGGGGCGACGCGUAGGACACGGGGUACACGGGCGGGAGCGGCGGCGGGGGCGACGAGUAGGACACGCCGUGGACGGGCGAGAACGACGGCGGGUUCCCCGCUGCUGGGUCGGACGGCGGCGGAGGCGGCGACGAGUAGGCCACGCCGUGCACGGGCGGGAACGGUAGGACGCCGCCGCUGCUGCCAGGUGCCGAUGGCGGGGUGUGCUCCUGGCUGCUGCCGUGGUCGCCUGGGGACGGAGGGUGGUAGCCGGGCGUGGGUGGCAACGACCCUGGCGCACCGGGAGUCGUCGGCGGGAACGUCGAUCCUGGAGUCGUCGGCGUGGGUGGCAACGACCCUGGUGCGCCCGGGGUCGUCGGCGGGAACGUCGAACCUGGCGUGCCCGGAGUCGUCGGCGUGGAUGGCAACGACCCUGGUGCGCCGGGGGUCGUCGGCGGGAAUGUCGAACCUGGCGUGCCCGGAGUCGUCGGUGUGGACGGCGAUCCUGGUGUGCCCGGCGGGUACGCUGAUCCUGGUGUGCCGGGAGCCGUUGGCGUGUGCGGCGGCCAGACGCCACCGGGGUGCUCUGUGGGUGGUGGUACGCCUACGGGUUGACCCGACGGUGCCCACUGGGACCACGGCGGCGGCUGGUAGCCUGACGGCGGAGCCGAGCCACCAUGGGACGAAGGCGGCAUUGAUGGCUUGGGGCUAUUGCCGUCUGCGGGCGGCGACGGGUACGACGGCGUGGUGGAGCUCCCUGGUGGGGAUGGGUGCGACGGUGUUGUGGAGCUCCCUGGCGGGGACGGGUGCGACGGUGUCGUGGAGCUCCCUGGUGGCGACGGGGUGGUAGAGCUCCCUGGCGGGGAUGGGUGCGACGGUGUCGUAGAGCUCCCUGGUGGCGACGGGUAUGCCGGUGUGUUGGAGCUCCCUGGCGGAGAAGGGUACGACGGCGUGUUGGAGCUCCCUGGCGGGGAUGGGUGCGACGGUGUCGUGGAGCUCCCUGGUGGCGACGGUGUUGUGGAGCUCCCUGGCGGGGACGGGUGCGACGGUGUCGUGGAGCUCCCUGGUGGCGACGGGGUGGUAGAGCUCCCUGGCGGGGAUGGGUGCGACGGUGUCGUAGAGCUCCCUGGUGGAGACGGGUAUGCCGGUGUGUUGGAGCUCCCUGGCGGAGAAGGGUACGACGGCGUGUUGGAGCUCCCUGGCGGGGAUGGGUGCGACGGCGUAUUCGAGCUCCCUGGCGGGGACAGUGGCUGUGAAGGUCCACCGGGGCCCGACCCAGGCGGGCCGGACGUCGGAGGCGGCUGGCAUUGCGCCGUCCUGCAGUCGAACGGCGCGGCCGCGGCGGCGCACUGUGGCGGUGGGCGCUGCGCAGGAGCGCCAGGGAUGCAGUUCCAGCGCCCGUCAGCCGUGGCGACCGCGCACCCAGGGCGCGAGGUGAAGAAGUUGUCCUCGUAGGUGAAGUUCCUGAGCGUCCCCUGCAGGCCGCACACCGCCGGCGGCACGGGGCCCCUGAGCAGGUUCCCGGCGACGUUGAGCUGCUGGAGGGCGGCCAUCCCGCCGACGGCGGGCGGGAGCGGGCCCUGGAGGUGGUUGCCGCUGACGUCGAACACCGUGAGCUUCGUGAGCAGGCCGACCUGCGGCGGGACGCAGCCGGUGAGGUCGUCGUCGAUGAGGACGAUCUCGUUGAGCGUGGCCGCCAUCCUCCCUAUCGACGGCGGGAUGCAGCCGCCGAGGCGGUUGUGCGCGAGCACGAGCACGGAGGCCGGCGAGUUGCCGAGGUUGGCCGGGAUGGGCCCGCGGAGGCGGUUGGAGUUGAGGAGGAUGGCGUCGAGCGGGCGGUCGAAGAGCGGCGGCGGGAUGGGGCCCUCGAAGUCGUUGAAGCGGAGGUCGAGGUAGCGGAGCGAGGGGAGCGCGAGCACGACGGCGGGGAAGGCGCCGACGAAGCGGUUGUUGCUGAGGUCGAGCUCGUGGAGGAGGCGCAGGUGGAGCAGCGUGUCCGGCAGCACCCCGCAGAAGCGGUUGGAGUUGAGGUGGAGCAGCGCCAGGUCGGGCACGCCGAGGGGGAGGUCGGCGGGGAUGUGGCCCGCGAUGUCGGCGUGGUUGAGGUCGAUGCCGGCCACGGCCAGCGCCCCGUCGGAGGGCCGCGGCGCGCAGUAGAUGCCGUUGUACGCGCACACGUUGGGGCCCGCCCAGUUGGAGGUGAAGUUGGACGGGUCGGAGAAGAUGGCCGUCCGCUUCCACGCCUGCAGCGCCGCGUACGCCGCCUGCAGCGCCGGGCUCGUCGGCGGCUGCGCUGCUGCGGGGCGCGCGAGGGUGAGUGUGAGGAGGAGGAGGAGGAGGAGGAGGUUGCGCCACCCGCUGGUGAUGCUGCCUCCUGCGCUGGAAGCGGGAGGAGCGGGGAUCAUGGCCGGCAGCCGCGGCGGUGUGCCGGUGGCGGCGCGGUGGUUUUGGUGGGGGAGAGACUGGAGAGAGAGGGGAGUGGACAGUG